CCUGGAGGAAAGUGGGUUCCACCAGGGCAGUUUAAACAGUCACGGAAAGAAACAUUAAGGUUUCAGGGCUGGAAGAAGCCUCAGACCUUCAAACCCUUUCCUCCAAAUUCACCGGACCGAUGUUUUGGGGCCAGAAAAAAAGCUUUAUUAGCAUGUCAGCUUUUGCAGAGCUCAGUUGUGGGAACAGUUACAACAGUCUCAUCCCUCGCGCUGCAGUUCAAGGUCAUUUUUCUUUCUUUUUAAAUACUUACCAUUUGGGUAGGCGUUUCGUCUACAAUAUACGUUCCCAAACACUAUUGAAAUUCACAUAAGGCCUUGGACUCUGAAGAACAAAAGAACUUAAGAGGGAAGUUGGUACUGGAAGCAGCCAAGGAAAGCAGUAUGGGGUUCAGAGAGCUUCCAGGUUGACAAAUACAUCCACACCAGGAAGGUGACACAUACCAACUCCAUGAGGACAGAAGUUCCUGCACUCAGGACCCACCAGGACCUCACUCUAUGUAUCUCUUCAUCUGGCUGUUCAUCUGUAUCCUUUUAUCAUAUCCUUUAAUAAACUAGUUAACAUAAGUGUUUCCCUGAGUUCUGUGAGCCUCUCAAAAAAAUUAAUCAAACCUGGACUUCCCUGGUGGUCCAGUGGUUAAGACUCCGAACUGCCAAUGCAGGGGGCAAGAUCUGAUCCCUGGUUGGCGAAGUUCCACAUGCCACAAGUUGUGGCCAAAAAUAAACUUUAAAAAUUAAUCGAACCUGAGUAGAGAGUUAUGGGAAACUCUGAUUUAUAGCCAAAUUGGACAGAAGUUGUAGGUAACCUGGGAACCUACUACUUG